GUCAUGUUCUCACAUGAGGAGUCGUAGCUCAGUGGCAGAGCAAUUGACUGCAGAUCAAUAGGUCACCGGUUCAAAUCCGGUCGGCUCCUA